UACAGAGGUCCCAAGCGUUGUUCGGAUUCACUGGGCGUAAAGGGUGCGUAGGUGGCCCUGUAAGUCAGUGGUGAAAUAUCUCAGCUUAACUGAGAGGGUGCCAUUGAUACUGCAGGGCUUGAGUACAGAUGAGGUAGGCGGAAUUGACGGUGUAGCGGUGAAAUGCAUAGAUAUCGUCAAGAACACCGAUAGCGAAGGCAGCUUACCAAGCUGUAAACUGACACUGAGGCAACGAAAGUG
rnacentral:rRNA from 1 species